rnacentral:tRNA from 1 species
CAGGGUGUAGCUAAGUUAGACCCAGCACCUCACUUACACCGAGAAGACAUCCGUGCAAAUCGGAUCACCCUGA